CGGACGGGUGAGUAACGCGUAGGAACCUGACACCGAGUGGGGGAUAACGCUGGGAAACCGGCGCUAAUACCGCAUACGGUCCCUCGAAAGGGGAGCAAAGCAGCAAUGCGCCAGAUGAGGGGCCUGUGGCCGAUUAGCUAGUUGGUGAGGUAAAGGCCCACCAAGGCGACGAUCGGUAGCUGGUCUGAGAGGAUGGUCAGCCACACUGGGACUGAGACACGGCCCAG
rnacentral:rRNA from 1 species